rnacentral:rRNA from 1 species
GAUGAACGCUGGCGGCGUGCCUAAUACAUGCAAGUCGAGCGAACAGACGAGGAGCUUGCUCCUCUGACGUUAGCGGCGGACGGGUGAGUAACACGUGGAUAACCUACCUAUAAGACUGGGAUAACUUCGGGAAACCGGAGCUAAUACCGGAUAACAUGUUGAACCGCAUGGUUCAACAGUGAAAGACGGUCUUGCUGUCACUUAUAGAUGGAUCCGCGCCGCAUUAGCUAGUUGGUAAGGUAACGGCUUACCAAGGCAACGAUGCGUAGCCGACCUGAGAGGGUGAUCGGCCACACUGGAACUGAGACACGGUCCAGACUCCUACGGGAGGCAGCAGUAGGGAAUGUUCCGCAAUGGGCGAAAGCCUGACGGAGCAACGCCGCGUGAGUGAAGAAGGUCUUCGGAUCGUAAAACUCUGUUAUUAGGGAAGAACAAAUGUGUAAGUAACUAUGCACGUCUUGACGGUACCUAAUCAGAAAGCCACGGCUAACUACGUG